rnacentral:lncRNA from 1 species
CAAGAUGUCCAGGGGGAGGGAGGGGUAUGGAGCAAUGAUUUUAGUAACUUAGAUUGAGUCAAUGGGAGCCUUCCCUGGGGGAGGGAAGACCCCUGGAAGCAGCCCUUCUGGCACCUGAUCACCCCCCUCUCUCCCAUGAAGCCUACUGCUACCUAAGCCUACAGAUGAGUGUGGUCCAGAGAGAGACCUGCCUCAGCAUGUGCAAGGAGUCCUGCAACGACACCCAGUAUAAGAUGACCAUCUCCAUGGCUGACUGGCCAUCCGAGGCCUCUGAGGUGAGAUGUUGAAAGGCCUAGCCCCUGUUCUCCGAUCUUUGGGUUGAGAACUAGUCUGGGACUUGAAAGAGGGUCUUCUCCCCCUCUUCCCUCCAUCUUUCUUUUCCUAUUCGCUUCGAUUCCUCUCUCCUUCCCACCCUCCCUUCCCUCCACCCCACCAAUGCUCUCCCAGGUUCCAUGCUAGGCAUAGCCUUCCCUUUACCAAGUCCACAGCCCAGUCAGUGAGGGACAACAAAUACGUGGAAAGAAGAUCAUUUCAAAGUCGAGGCAGUAGGGACAGAAACAAUGGGAGCAAACAGUAAGGGAAAGCAUUUUAGAGAGCAGGUCAGGGAAGGCCUCUCUAAGGAGCCAUAGCCAGAAGCGAGCUGGCAGGGCAGGGAGGAUUCUGGGAAGAAGGAACAGCAAGUGCUCUGGCUAGAGAAGGGAAUGAGCCCGAGACAUUACCUGCCUGGGGACAAGACAGCUGGAGAGUGGAGCCCCUCCUUC